rnacentral:lncRNA from 1 species
AAAUCAAAUUCUAUUUGAUACAUGCAAAAAGUGGAAAACAUGGAUAAAAUUUUCAAGUUUGUUAAUGUUAUGAUAAUCAUUUUAUCCAUAUUUCUUGCUUCAACACAAAUUUCACACGGAUGUAAGGCUAUGCAAUUGGGGGCAGCUGCCCCCACUAUAUGCUUACUUGUGUUUUGAUUAGUAUGUUAUAUUUAGUUUAUGUUGUUAUGUAAAAUAGUGUUUUGCCCCCACUUGAUAGCAAUUAUACAUGAAAGAAAGAUUUCAUUUUCUAUCCUUCAACACUUUUCACAAAUACACGGUUAUGAACAAUUAGUAGGAUAGUUAAUGGGUAAAAUUUAUGUACGACUAUUAUUAAAAUUUAUGACAAAUUCAUGUUUUGAUAUAUUUAAUGUUGAUUUUUUAUAUUCUAAAGCAAAAUUGUAGUAUUAAUAAGAGAUAUAAUAAUAGAAUAUACUAAAAUAUCUUUUUUUUUUUGUCACUAUGAGUAUAAUUCAGUUGGUAGAAACAUUGCAUGUAAUAUGUAGGGACCGAAAUCCAAAACUUAGUACAUCUAAUUAUCUUAUAUAUAUCACAUAUGAAUUAAAAAAAUAUAUAUUUAUCACAUAUAAUCUUGCCCCCCACAAACUAAAAUUUCUGGAUCCGUCCCUGACCCUUGUUAUCUCCUUUUUAAAUUUUCUUCUUUACUUCUAACACAAUAUUUUAUUCCAUUUUAUAACAAUAUUGUUUUUUCUCUUUUUACAUUACAGCUAACAUUCCAUGUAAAACUGAUCGUGAUUGUCCGGUACUUUCCGUCAACCAAGCUAGUUCAAAACCUAUAAGAAUGAAAUGUCGUAAAGGUUUUUGUACCUGACAAUCAUAAAGCUCCAAAGAUUAUAUGAUUGUUAGACCCCAAAAGAAUCCACAAAUUCACUACUCCAUGAAUUCUUGUUUAGUUAUUGUGAUCAUCCAUUAAAUGAUUUUUUUUAUAUAAUUUUUUUAAUUUCAGGUACCUUGUAAGAUGAUGCAAAUGAAAUUAAAUAAAGCAUAAAAAAUAUUAUCUAUGGUUUCUUCUUCUAUAUCUUAAUUUUGAGAUAUCGUCAUGGUCUUCAUUCAAGCAUAUCCAAUUUUUUUUC